CCUACGGGUGGCUGCAGUAGGGAAUCUUCCACAAUGGACGAAAGUCUGAUGGAGCAACGCCGCGUGAGUGAAGAAGGUUUUCGGAUCGUAAAACUCUGUUGUAAGGGAAGAACAAGUACGUGAGUAACUGCACGUACCUUGACGGUACCUUAUUAGAAAGCCACGGCUAACUACGUGCCAGCAGCCGCGGUAAUACGUAGGUGGCAAGCGUUGUCCGGAAUUAUUGGGCGUAAAGCGCGCGCAGGCGGUCCUUUAAGUCUGAUGUGAAAGCCCAC
rnacentral:rRNA from 1 species